rnacentral:rRNA from 1 species
UACAGAGGUCUCAAGCGUUGUUCGGAUUCAUUGGGCGUAAAGGGUGUGUAGGUGGCGCGCUAAGUCGGGUGUGAAAUUUCGGAGCUUAACUCCGAAACUGCAUUCGAUACUGGCGUGCUUGAGGACUGGAGAGGAGACUGGAAUUCAUGGUGUAGCAGUGAAAUGCGUAGAGAUCAUGAGGAAGACCAGUGGCGAAGGCGGGUCUCUGGACAGUUCCUGACGCUGAGGCACGAAGGUCAGGGAGCAAACGGG